UCGUGUGACUUAUUUUUGAAUUUCUAUGUUACAGUAAUAAGUGAUAACAUAUAAAUAAAAUGUAAUUAUUAUUACAGAAUAAACGAUGAAUCAACAUGAUUAUAUAUAUAACAAUACGUAUUGACUAAUAUGGUACAAAUUGGUUGAUUAGUCUUGUAACUCGCGUUGACUGGUUUAUGUCGGAAGGAGAAACCUACAUAUAUACAUUGUAAAUAUGUAUAUAUGAACUUAGUUACUUACUAAUAUUCAGAUCAUCGACAUUCUUAGAUUUGCAGUGUCACUUUGCAAAUGUAAGUGUAAAUCAGAGUGAAGGAAUGGGUCAUCAAAGUGUAACUAACGGUUUGUAUAUUUUAACUGGUUCUGUUAACAAUAGAAUCUCACCAUAUCACAAUCUCGUUGAUUAUAGUCGCAACAAAUUAUUGCUUGAAUUAUAGUAUUUAAAUGCCAACCAAUGGAACAGGUGUUAUAAUGUUAUUUCUAGGAUAGCUUAGAGAUAGAUCUAUUACUGGAUUGCUGUAAAUCAUUACGAUUUGUCAAUUCUGUUCGAGAGUACUAAAUUUCAAAUUUUUAUUACAAUUUUUAUUAUAAUCAUUACAUAUAUAUAGUAGAUGUAAAAAACAAAUUCUGUAUUUUUGGUUUUAUGGUUUAUAGUUUUAGUGCAAAUUCAAAUAUUUUCCCGCCUCUUAGCAUGUAUACAGCGCCGACGUUUAGCUUUUACAAUAAAAAUUCGUUUAGCAUUCUGAUUAGAAAAUAGUCGUAGAUACAAGAUGUUGAUGAAGUACAUAUUUAAUAUUGCAUUCCAUUUGCGUUUUAGCUUAAUAGAAACGUUGCUAAAGUUGCUGGAACGAAUUCUGUGCUUACAAUUAGUGUAGGAAAUGAUACAAUUCUAUCAAAGGAGAUUUUAACUUUAAAUGUAGCUACGUUCCAACUAUAAGAAUGACUAAGAAGCUUAGAACGAAAAACAAUAAGGAAUACAGAAUAAAAAUGAACAAAAAAAUAGAAAAAGGAAGUCACUGACAUCAAGAGAAGCUAAUAUACAUAUUUAAAUACAGCUUUUGAUCAGUAUCUUUAUUUUUUAAAUGAAAUUAAAUCCAUGUCGGGUGAUUUGAAUGAAGGCUACUGUAAAUGUAUAGUUUGUCGUGAAACAAACGCCUGGAAAAUGUGCAUCUAGGUAUCUACGGUUUGUUUUAUGACAGAGCGGAAGAAGAGGAAGAAAGAAUGUCCCGACUAUUUCAAUGACCUGUUAUACGUAUUAGCAACCAGUGUUACUAGAUAAAAAUAGGUUGGGGUAAUGACUUCAUUUCAUGAUAUUCGGGAACAAGGAUAAAGUAGUUUUCCCUGUGUAUUUUCCUAUUAUCCUGGAAGUUUAAACGCAUUAUUAAUAUUGUAAGUAUAUAUUUUUUGUUGUUGAAAUUACUAUUGUAGAAUAUAGUAUUUUAAAUUGUUAUUGAGUUAUAAAUGAAACCAUAUACAAACCUGAACAACUGUGUAAACUAACGAGGAUUAUGUUUGGUAAAUUCGGUUAAAUUUUAAGAUUAAGUAGAAAUUUUUAAGGGAAUUCACAAUUAUGCUCUAUUUUGAUAAGAAGGUGCCAUAAUUUGUGAUUUAUUUGCUUGUAAAUGGCCUGUUGAUGACCAAUUUCAAAUUUUGUAAAAAAGGAUUAACACAGUAGAUAUAAAAUUAUUAGAAAGCUGAAGAUGAAUAAUCUUUUUUUUGCCAUUAUAGCAAUUAUAUUUUAAUGUAAUGAAAUAAAAAUUUAUAUAUUUCUGAUAUUAAAAAUUAAAAAGGAUUUUUAUAUCUUCAAAAUUAAUAGAAUAAAAUAAAGAAAGAUUUUUUAAAAAUAUUUUAUUCAGCUGUGGAUUCCUUUAACUCGU